CCCUUAGAUGUCCUGGGCCGCACGCGCGCUACACUGAUGCAUGCAACGAGUUUAUAACCUUGGCCUGAAAGGUCUGGGUAAUCUUUUGAACGUGCAUCGUGAUAGGGAUAGAUUAUUGCAAUUGUUAAUCUUGAACGAGGAAUUCCUAGUAAACGCGAGUCAUCAGCUCGCAUUGAUUACGCCCCUGCCCUUUGUACACACCGCCCGUCGCACCUACCGAUUGAAUGGUUCGGUGAAGAUCUCGGACUUCGAUAUUUAUUCUUUAUUGAGUUUAUAUUGUGGGAAGUUAUCUAAACCUCAUCAUUUAGAGGAAGGUGAAGUCGUAACA
rnacentral:rRNA from 1 species